GAUGAACGCUAGCUACAGGCUUAACACAUGCAAGUCGAGGGGAAACGAUAGAGAAAGCUUGCUUUUUCUAGGCGUCGACCGGCGCACGGGUGAGUAACGCGUAUCCAACCUGCCCACCACUUGGGGAUAACCUUGCGAAAGUAAGACUAAUACCCAAUGACGUCUCUAGGAGACAUCUGAAAGGGAUUAAAGAUUUAUCGGUGAUGGAUGGGGAUGCGUCUGAUUAGCUUGUUGGCGGGGUAACGGCCCACCAAGGCGACGAUCAGUAGGGGUUCUGAGAGGAAGGUCCCCCACAUUGGAACUGAGACACGGUCCAAACUCCUACGGGAGGCAGCAGUGAGGAAUAUUGGUCAAUGGACGAGUGUCUGAACCAGCCAAGUAGCGUGCAGGAUGACGGCCCUAUGGGUUGUAAACUGCUUUUAUAAGGGAAUAAAGUGAGAGUCGUGACUCUUUUUGCAUGUACCUUAUGAAUAAGGACCGGCUAAUUCCGUGCCAGCCGCCGCAGUAA
rnacentral:rRNA from 1 species